AAUAGAUACCCAGGUAGUCCAUACCGUAAACGAUGAAUGCUAAGUGUUGGAGGGUUUCCGCCCUUCAGUGCUGCAGCUAACGCAUUAAGCAUUCCGCCUGGGGAGUACGGCCGCAAGGCUGAAACUCAAAGGAAUUGACGGGGGCCCGCACAAGCGGUGGAGCAUGUGGUUUAAUUCGAAGCUACGCGAAGAACCUUACCAGGUCUUGACAUACUAUGCAAAUCUAAGAGAUUAGACGUUCCCUUCGGGGACAUGGAUACAGGUGGUGCAUGGUUGUCGUCAGCUCGUGUCGUGAGAUGUUGGGUUAAGUCCCGCAACGAGCGCAACCCUUAUUAUCAGUUGCCAGCAUUAAGUUGGGCACUCUGGUGAGACUGCCGGUGACAAACCGGAGGAAGGUGGGGAUGACGUCAAAUCAUCAUGCCCCUUAUGACCUGGGCUACACACGUGCUACAAUGGAUGGUACAACGAGUUGCGAACUCGCGAGAGUAAGCUAAUCUCUUAAAGCCAUUCUCAGUUCGGAUUG
rnacentral:rRNA from 1 species